GACAGAGGGUGCAAACGUUGUUCGGAAUUACUGGGCGUAAAGCGCGUGUAGGCGGCUAUGUAAGUCGGGCGUGAAAUCCCACGGCUCAACCGUGGAAGUGCACCCGAAACUGCGUAGCUAGAGUCCUGGAGAGGAAGGUGGAAUGCUUGGUGUAGAGGUGAAAUUCGUAGAUAUCGGGAGGAACACCAGUGGCGAAGGCGGAGACCUGGGCCGAUACUGACGCUGAGGUGCGAAAGCGUGGGGAGCAAACAGG
rnacentral:rRNA from 1 species